rnacentral:tRNA from 1 species
GCCCUUGUAGCGCAAUGGAUAACGUGUUGGACUCUUCAUCCAAAGGUCGUGGGUUCGAAUCCCACCUGGGAUG